UGAACAUCCGCACACACGUCAUUAUUGCACAUGGCCCUGAUUCAUACGUUAUUUCAAAAGCCCAACCUCUGAACAUGUACUACACGUGUGUGUGUGUGUGUGUGUGUGUGUGUGUGUGUGUGUGUGUGUGU